CUAAUACUAGUCUUGUAAUUGGAAUGAGUACAAUUUAAAUCCCUUAACGAGGAUCAAUUGGAGGGCAAGUCUGGUGCCAGCAGCCGCGGUAAUUCCAGCUCCAAUAGCGUAUAUUAAUGUUGUUGCAGUUAAAAAGCUCGUAGUCGGAUUUCAAUGCGGGUUGACCGGUCUGCCGAUUGGUAUGCACUGGCCGAGCCGUAUUUCCUCCCGGAGACCUCGUCUACUCUUAACUGAGGCGGACGGGGGAAACGGGAUUUUUACUUUGAGGAAAUCAGAGUGUUCAAAGCAGGCUUUUGUAUGUAUGUGUUAGCAUGGGAUAAUAAAAUAGGACUUGGGUGCUAUUUUGUUGGUUUCGAACACCUAAGUAAUGAUUAAUAGGGAUAGUCAGGGGCACUCGUAUUCCACCGAGAGAGGUGAAAUUCUUAGACCAGUGGAGGACGAACUUCUGCGAAAGCAUUUGCCAGGGAUGUUUUCACUGAUCAAGAACGAAAGUUAGGGGAUCGAAGACGAUCAGAUACCGUCGUAGUCUUAACCAUAAACCAUGCCGACUAGGGAUUGGGGGAUGUUAUUUUUACGACUCCUUCAGCACCUUACGAGAAAUCAAAGUCUUUGGGUUCCGGGGGGAGUAUGGUCGCAAGGCUGAAACUUAAAGGAAUUGACGGAAGGGCACCACCAGGAGUGGAGCCUGCGGCUUAAUUUGACUCAACACGGGGAAACUUACCAGGUCCAGACAUAGUAAGGAUUGACAGAUUAAGAGCUCUUUCUUGAUUCUAUGGGU
rnacentral:rRNA from 1 species